GAUGAACGCUGGCGGCGUGCUUAACACAUGCAAGUCGAACGAUGAACUCGGAGCUUGCUCCGGCGGAUUAGUGGCGAACGGGUGAGUAACACGUGAGUAACCUGCCUUUGACUCUGGGAUAACUGCUAGAAAUGGUAGCUAAUACCGGAUACGACCCUCGGUGGCAUCACCAGGGGGUGGAAAGAAUUUCGGUCAAGGAUGGACUCGCGGCCUAUCAGCUAGUUGGUGAGGUAACGGCUCACCAAGGCGACGACGGGUAGCCGGCCUGAGAGGGUGACCGGCCACACUGGGACUGAGAUACGGCCCAGACUCCUACGGGAGGCAGCAGUGGGGAAUAUUGCACAAUGGGCGCAAGCCUGAUGCAGCGACGCCGCGUGAGGGAUGACGGCCUUCGGGUUGUAAACCUCUUUCAGCACCGACGAAGCGCAAGUGACGGUAGGUGCAGAAGAAGGACCGGCCAACUACGUGCCAGCCGCCGCCGUAA
rnacentral:rRNA from 1 species